rnacentral:tRNA from 1 species
AGAUGAGCGUUGUGGCGGAAGAAUUUCGACUUCUUUAGUGGUUUAUAAAGUAUUUUACAUCAUCUU